rnacentral:rRNA from 1 species
UACGAAGGGGGCUAGCGUUGUUCGGAAUCACUGGGCUUAAAGCGUGUAUAGGCGGAUCGUUAAGUGUCUUGUGAAAUCCCACGGCUCACCCGUGGAACUGCUGGGCAUACUGGCGAUCUUGGGCCAACUAGGGGCAACUGGAACAAGCGGUGGAGCGGUGAAAUGCGUAGAUAUCGCUUGGAACGCCAAAGGUGAAAACAGGUUGCUGGGGUUGUGCCGACGCUGAGACACGAAAGCCAGGGGAGCAAACGGG